UACGAAGGGGGCUAGCGUUGUUCGGAAUUACUGGGCGUAAAGGGCGCGUAGGCUGUGCUGUAAGUCAGGCGUGAAAGCCCCGGGCUCAACCUGGGAAUUGCGCUUGAUACUGCGGCGCUGGAAGGUGGGAGAGGAUGGCGGAAUUCCCAGUGUAGAGGUGAAAUUCGUAGAUAUUGGGAAGAACACCGGUGGCGAAGGCGGCCAUCUGGCCCACAUUUGACGCUGAGGCGCGAAAGCGUGGGGAGCAAACAGG
rnacentral:rRNA from 2 species